GGCAGCUUAAAUGCCUCCGUGUAUUUAAAAUAAACUAAAUGUAGUGAGCUGAUCGACAGCUUUACCAGUCCGACCCACUCGACAUGAAAUGUGCUCUACAUUACCUGGAAUGAAUUUGACACCUUUGGUUUAUACUGAGGACAAUCAGUUCAAUGAUUCACAAGAGAGAGGACCCAAUGCACACACCAGAGAGCUAAACAAUAAAUAAUACACAUCAAUAAAUGUAUUGGGGGAUGUGCAGGAACCUGGAUCAGAGCAUUUGACUGUUUCUUCUGUGACUUCCUUGAAAACUUAGUGUAUGAAGAUACAAAAAAAUAAAAUAUGCUAAACUAAAUGUAAAAUAUACUCAGUUCAUACCAGAUACCUGCUAUCCGGUUACUGAGUUUAUAUUAGACAGUUUAUCCAAGAGAAUAAAUUAAAUGUAUGUAACGCACACAGAGGUUCUAGGUAUGACCAACCGUCUCGGCCGUGGGAAAAAGAUGACAACCAAUAAAAUUCUAAAAGAUAAUUUAUUAGUGCAAUGAUCAAAAAUUGGAAGGAUAACACAGUUCAGUUUCCCACUUGCAAAAGAGAUAAAAAAAAAAUAAAAAAUAAUAUAAGGCCAUAGACAGCGAUGCGUCAAGUCAGUUGGACUUUACGUGUCAAACACUUUAUCAGCAGUUGUCCCCCAAGUCUCACCACCCUGUAAGUAGAAGGCCAGUAAUCACUCCAGCCUCAGCAACCCAACGCUGCCUUUAGACUGCAGCAGGCCCAGGCCUGCACAGAGACAAGAUGUCACCACAUCUUCAUUAUACAAUUCACAGAGCAGCAAACUAUCCAUCAUAACACAUUUAAAUCAAGUCAUCUUGAUGACACACCUGCACAGAGAGACAAACGUCACAGCAGUGUUUGUAGUGUGGACUAUAAGUAGACUAGAGUAUCAGUGAACUCAAAUACACCUGCCUUCAAUUAAUCCAACCCCAUCACAGCAAAUGUGACACACAAAACCACCAGUGCAACUUCCCACAACAAACAUGGAGGUGACAUUAGUCCAUCAUGUUACAUGUACUUUAGUAAAUACUAAAAAAUAUAUAUAUUUAGCUCAGAUACUUAGUUGGUAUCGACUAUUUUCC
ensembl:lncRNA